AUCUGGACGGCGGAAUUCAGGAUGGUUGGUGGGUUUCGCGCUUGUCCAACCGUUUGAUAUUUCCGUCGUCGUGUCAGACGUCGCGACCUGUUUGUCGUUGGUCCCUGCUCGGAGGAAUCGCGAUCGAGUUCGUUGCAUGGUGCGUCUCGGCGUGCCAUGCGGUGAAGACGCGGCUCUCUGGCCAAUGACGGACAGUAAGCAACGGUGUCCGACGCCGUGUCUCGUACUCGGCGUCGGUGCCGGUCUGCGACGAUUUCUUCGGGCCUCUUUCCGACCCGUCUUGAAACACGGACCAAGGAGUCUAACAUGCGCGCGAGUCGCGGGGUUUCGAGCGUACUACGGUGCGCUCGUUACUUGCGAAACCCGUACGUUGAAGGCGUAAUGAAAGUGAAAAGGGAAGAUGGCGUUCCGAGUCCACGUACCGUGAUCGAGUGUCGCGGCCGGACGUCCGCACUCCCGGGGCGUCUUAAUAGCUCGUCGCGGAUGCGGAUGGUCGUCCCUCGGGGCGAUCGUCGGUCUGCGACGAACGGA
rnacentral:rRNA from 1 species